AACGCUGGCGGCGUGCCUAAUACAUGCAAGUCGAACGGCUUUUCUAUGGAAGCUUGCUUCCACUGAGAAGAUAGUGGCGAACGGGUGAGUAACACGUGGGUAACCUGCCCAUAAGAGGGGGGAUAACAUCCGGAAACGGGUGCUAAUACCGCAUAGUUUUCUUGAUCGCAUGAUCGGGAAAGGAAAGACGGCCUUUGUGCUGUCGCUUAUGGAUGGACCCGCGGCGUAUUAGUUAGUUGGUGAGGUAACGGCUCACCAAGACGAUGAUACGUAGCCGACCUGAGAGGGUGAUCGGCCACAUUGGGACUGAGACACGGCCCAAACUCCUACGGGAGGCAGCAGUAGGGAAUCUUCCGCAAUGGACGAAGUCUGACGGAGCAACGCCGCGUGAGUGAAGAAGGUUUUUCCGGAUCGUAAAACUCUGUUGUCAGAGAAGAACAAGUUGGAGAGUAACUGCUCCAGCCUUGACGGUAUCUGACCAGAAAGCCACGGCUAACUACGUGCCAGCAGCCGC
rnacentral:rRNA from 1 species